UGAACGCGAAGAACCUUACCAGGUCUUGACAUCCUCUGACAAUCCUAGAGAUAGGACGUCCCCUUCGGGGGCAGAGUGACAGGUGGUGCAUGGUUGUCGUCAGCUCGUGUCGUGAGAUGUUGGGUUAAGUCCCGCAACGAGCGCAACCCUUGAUCUUAGUUGCCAGCAUUCAGUUGGGCACUCUAAGGUGACUGCCGGUGACAAACCGGAGGAAGGUGGGGAUGACGUCAAAUCAUCAUGCCCCUUAUGACCUGGGCUACACACGUGCUACAAUGGACAGAACAAAGGGCAGCGAAACCGCGAGGUUAAGCCAAUCCCACAAAUCUGUUCUCAGUUCGGAUCGCAGUCUGCAACUCGACUGCGUGAAGCUGGAAUCGCUAGUAAUCGCGGAUCAGCAUGCCGCGGUGAAUACGUUCCCGGGUCUUGUACACACGCA
rnacentral:rRNA from 1 species